AUCAUUAAUGAAAUUGUAAUCCGGCGAGGGGGAAGGCGGAGAGUUGUCGCUGGCCUUUCGUGAGGCAUGUGCACGCUUUCUUCUCGACCUUCGCCGUAUGGGCGCGGGGCGACCCGCGUCUUCAUGCACCUCUUCGUGUAGAAAGUCUUUGAAUGUUACACCAUCAUCGACUCGCGACUUCUAGGAGACGCGAUUCUUUGAGACAAAAGUUAUUACAACUUUCAGCAACGGAUCUCUUGGCUCUCGCAUCGAUGAAGAACGCAGCGAAUCGCGAUAUGUAAUGUGAAUUGCAGAUCUACAGUGAAUCAUCGAAUCUUUGAACGCACCUUGCGCUCCUCGGUGUUCCGAGGAGCAUGCCUGUUUGAGUGUCAGUAAAUUCUCAACCCCUCUCGAUUUGCUUCGAGUGGGAGUUUGGAUGGUGGGGGUUGCCGGAGACCUGGAUUUAUUUCAGGACUCGGGCUCUCCUGAAAUGCAUCGGCUUGCGGUUGACUUUCGACUUUGCACGACAAGGCCUUCGGCGUGAUAAUGAUCGCCGUUAGCUGAAGCGCAUGAAUGAAUGGUCCCGUGCCUCUAAUACGUCGACGCUCUCGAGCGUCUUCCUUAUUGACGUUUGACCUCAAAUCAGGUAGGACUACCCGCUGAACUUAAGCAUAUCAAUAAGCGGAGGAAAAGAAACUAACAAGGAUUCCCCUAGUAACUGCGAGUGAACCGGGAAGAGCUCAAAUUUUGAAUCUGGCGGUCU
rnacentral:rRNA from 1 species